rnacentral:tmRNA from 1 species
AGGUUAAAUAUAACUGCUAAAAACGAAACAAAUUCUUUCGCUUUAGCUGGCUAAAAACCAGCUAACGAAGUUCCUCCCGGUCUCGCCCAUGUGCUCGGGUCAGGGUCCUAAUCGAAGUGGGAUACGCUAAAUUUUUCCGUCUGUAAAAUUUAGAAGAGCUUACCAGACUAGCAAUACAGAAUGCCUGUCACUCGGCACGCUGUAAAGCGAACCUUUAAAUGAGUGUCUAUGAACGUAGAGAUUUAAGUGGCAAUAUGUUUGGACGCGGGUUCGACUCCCGCCGCCUCCAUAC